UACGGGGGGAGCAAGCGUUGUUCGGAAUUACUGGGUGUAAAGGGUUCGUAGGCGGUGCGGCAAGUUGGGAGUGAAAUCUCUGGGCUUAACCCAGAGGCUGCUUCCGAAACUGCUGUGCUUGAGUGUGGGAGAGGCGCGUGGAAUUGCAGGUGUAGCGGUGAAAUGCGUAGAUAUCUGCAGGAACACCCGUGGCGAAAGCGGCGCGCUGGACCACUACUGACGCUGAGGAACGAAAGCUAGGGGAGCAAACAGG
rnacentral:rRNA from 1 species